AGUAUGUAAGAAUAAAUUUCAGAAAUAGACCGAGAUUGAAAAUAGUCCAAAAGUUAUAUAUAGAAUUUAUAAGAAUCCACAAAUAGUUAAUUCCACUACGCGAUUGAAUGAUUUUGACGUUUAUGGUUCAACGUAUUUUGUAAUUCAUAAUAGAAAUAUAUCAUAAUGACAUAAAAUAGAACAAUAUCAUACUGACGGGAUCUUUUAAAGUACAGAGUCACGUUAUAAAAACCAAAGAAAUACAAAAAGUCGCAUAUACAAAACACGCCACCAAAAAAAUGAAAGACAAUACAAACACAUUGACGAGAUGUAUAAGUACCUAGCC
rnacentral:lncRNA from 1 species